CAAAUAAAUAAAAGGAGCAAGACAAACAGAGUUGAGAUUAUGGACCUGCAGGUUUUGUCAUUGAAAUUGCGACAGUUGAACUGAAUUCUAAGUUAAAAUGGAGAUUGAUAACAGUCUUGAGACCAGCUUUGGACAGCUCGACUUGAAAGAACGUGUUUGUCUGGCUGAUUGGGACCUCCCGCCUAGUGUAGUAAAGGCAUAUCGUGAGAGAGGCAUCAACGAGAUGUUUUCUUGGCAGGCAGAAUGUCUAGCCCUUCCUGGUGUCUGGACACAAACAAGCGAUCUGGUCUUGGCAGCUCCAACAUCAGGUGGCAAAAGUCUUGUUGCUGAGUUGCUCUCUGCCAGGACUGCAAUUAGAAAGGGCAAGAAGGCUGUGAUAGUGUUGCCUUUUAAGGCGUUAGUCGCUGAAAAAACUAACUAUUUAAAGACUUUAUUUGCACGGACUGGCUUGAAGGUUGUCUCCUAUACAGGCAGCUCGUCCAUGCUUUGUCCUUUUUCCAUGGUUGACAUAGCUGUGUGUGUCACGGAAAAGGCCAACGCACUAAUCAACCAGCUUGUGUCCGAGGAUUCAGUGGCCAGUCUCGGUCUUGUGGUUGCAGAUGAACUGCACACUCUCGCUGACAGCAGUCGAGGAUAUAUCUUAGAAAUGCUGCUAUCCAAGAUCAAGUUUCUGAAAAACUCGAGAGGUGCUGAUUUGCAAGUCGUCGGGAUGUCUGCAACGCUGGGAAACCUUGGCGAAAUUGCCUCAUGGCUGAGCGCUGUCAAAUAUCAAACGGAUUUUAGGCCAGUUUCGUUGCAGCAGAGGAUUUUAAUGAAUGGAACUAUUCUGGACAGUAAAUUUGAGAAAGUCGAGGAGUACAAGAGAGUCAUAGAUGCUAAGGAUGACCCUGAAAAUGUUAUUGAUUUAACUGUGAAGAGCGUUCUUGGCGGUCAAUCGGUUCUCAUAUUUUGUAUGACCAAAGCGCACUGCGAAGCUUUGUCAGUAAAAAUAGCCAAAGAAAUUAUUAAAGUUGGCAGGGGAAAGUUUGGCCAGGAAAUGGCGCAGAAGAUCCAGGAGCACAUAACUGAAACGGCGGCUCUCGAAAUGAGGUCCCUUAUAGACACCUGCAUGCCAAGCUCUGAGUUGAGGACAUGUGUCUGCUUUGGAGUGGCAUUCCACCACGCUGGACUGUCCGACGAUGAACGUUCUGUGAUAGAAGACGGUUUCCGCUCAGGCCGCUUGCGUAUACUGGUGGCUACGUCCACCCUCUGCUCUGGAGUCAACCUGCCCGCCUCAGUGGUCAUCGUCAGAAUGGGCAACAGGCUCGACAAACAGAUGUACUUGCAGAUGAUAGGCCGUGCAGGCAGGACGGGAGUGACCACGACUGGCACGAGUUUUCUCACUGUUCCGUCCAGCCUUCUUGCGUUAGCUAAAAAGUUGACCUCUGAGGAUGUGGCUCACGUGACACCAAGUUUGGGGAGCAAUUUGAUGCGGGCCGUUUUGGAAGCUGUUUCUAUUGGUUUGACACGGACACAUGAGCAGAUCAUUUCUUUUGUAAAUUCUACCUUUUAUGGAUUCUGUAAAACUGGCUCUAUUGACGCAGUACUAGAAGAGGUUAUUGAAGAUCUCGCAGCAGCUCAAUAUUUGAGAAGAAACGAAGAGCUCACUGAGGCGACAAGACUAGGAAGCGCUUGUGUUGCUGCUGGAGCGCGGCCGCAAGAUGCCAAAAUGCUCUAUGAAGAGCUGGAGAAGGCGCAAAAGUCAUUCGCAUUGGACACAGAGCUGCACCUUUGUUAUAUAACUACUCCUCUCUACAGUUCUGACUGGGGUUCAUUUGACUGGCUCAGCUGGAUGAAAAUGUAUUCCUCCCUGCCAGCAGAGUACUUAAGAGUUGCUAACUUGGUUGGGGUCAAGGAGAAUUUCAUAGGCGUGAUGAUGGCCAAAUCCUCAAACAUGAUUAAUCAACAGGCUCUCUCAAGCAUGGAGAAGCACCAAAGGUUUUUCAAAGCGCUUGCAAUGAUGGAUCUCAUAAAGGAGAAUUCGAUCGCAGAGGUAGCAGCAAAAUUCAGCACUAGCAAAGGUGCCAUGCAGAGCCUUCAACAGUCAGCCGCAAUGCAAGCUGGUCGAGUCAAAGCAUUCUGCCAGCAACUUGGCUGGACUUUAAUGGCAGUUUUGAUGAAAUCUCUCCAGCAGCGUUUGCAAUUUGGAGUUUUGCCAGAGCUUUGUGAUCUGAUGCGGGUCGAAUUGCUGAAUGGACAACAAGCCAGGGCGUUCUACCAAGCCGGAAUUGAGAGUGUUGCUGACUUGGCCAGAAGCAAUGUUGAGAUCAUAGAGCGGAUACUGAUAAACAUGCCCAAGUUUGGAAGUGUUGAACAGGAGAAACAAGUGCAGCUUGGCGUUUUCCUUGAAGGGAUUGGAGCUCUUCCGGAGAGGCAAGCCUCAACUCUAAUCUUGCAGCACGCUAGAGAAGUGGUGCAGCAAGAGCUUGGCCUUGAAGGAUUUAGCUGGGAGCAAAAGCAGACGGAAACUCCACCAAGGGCAAGCCAGCCUGCGUGCACCCAGGAGAGCCAAACUCCUGAAAAGAUCGAAAUGGACGACGCCCUUGCCGCACUUGAGGCCACUUGCAACACUCCUCACAGGACGCCGGCCAAGGGCGAAAUAGAAAGGUUGGGCCUGAGUCCGGACCUUUUCGACGCCAGCUUGGAGGGGGUGGAGCAAAAUGUGGAUAAGGUGGCUGUGAUAAAAGUGUCAAAGGAGCUGGAACCACACUUUUUUAAAAUUCUCAACCAGAUUGAAAUUUUGUCCUUUUCAAUGUCAGUGGAGAGUGGAGGUAGAGUAAACGAAGUCGUCCUUGGUUGUGAAAUGGCCGAUGAAGUAUUCAUAUUUGUGCUUUCUUUAGAAGUUUAUAUGGACACUAUACGAGGCAUAUUGAGUUCAAAGCAUUUACAAAUUUCAAUGAACAACGCUUUGUUGAAAAUACGUCACCUACUGCACUAUUUCAACACUAUAGAGUCCCAAGUUUUUGAUCCUGUACUAGCAGCCUGGAUCCUGAAUCCCGACAAGCCGUCUUACUCGCUCGCGCAACUGGUGCAGAACACAUUUCCUGAGCUAACAGACUUAGUGUCAAAUUUGAGUCGGCAGAAUUGGUGCCCCACUAAUGAGAGUGAAGCUAUAACCGAGUGCAUCAUGACUGCCAAAAUCUCAUGCCAGCUGAAGGCAUGGUUAGAGUCCCGCAAACUAAUUUCCGUUUUAAAUGAUAUUGAUAUCGAGGCUGUGAAAGUACUUGCGGAAUGUGAACGUAGGGGCUUCUUUAUAUGCAACAAAGAAUGCUCUGUUAUAGAGAACCAAAUCAUAGAUACUCUUGACAAGUUGAAGAUUGAAGCCGCCACAUACGCUAGCUGCAAUUUCGACCCUAACAAGUCCUCUGAUGUUAAGAAGGUCAUAUACAAUAAAUUGAAACUUGGAGAUCCAAAAUCCAAACAAUCAACGUCAAAAGAGGCUCUUCAAGCUUUGGAGGGCAAACACCCACUACCCAAAUUAAUCAUUGAAUAUAGGAAAUUGCACCACAUUUUGACAACUAUUUUACAUCCCAUUUUAAACAAUUUAGAAAAGUCCGUGGUACACCCUCGCUACAAUUUUCUCAUUGCCACCGGACGUGUGCACAUGUACGACCCAAAUUUGCAAAGUGUGCCUCGUGACUUUGCCUUACCUGACGGCAACAUCUUGAGCGUUCGAAGCAUGUUUGUCGCUCGUCCAGGUUAUUGCCUGGUCUCUGCCGACUACCGUCAGAUAGAGUUUCGCCUAAUGGUGCAUCUGAGCAAUGACGGAUCUCUGAUCAAGCUGAUGAAUUCGGGAGAAGAUGUUUUUGUUCGCAUAGCCAGUAUGAUACACAAAACCAAUGAUGUGUCAGACGAGAUGAGAAGACAAGCUAAACAGGUAUGCUACGGUCUUCUCUAUGGAAUGGGCGUGGAUAAGCUAAAAGAAGAGUUGAAGGCCCCUGCUGACCAAGUUCAUGUCCUUUAUGAGUCCAUACAAGAGCAACUCUCAUCUUUGUUUGAGUUCAAAGAGUCUGUCGAAAAGCAGUGUCGAGAUACGGGCCGUGUUACUUCCAUGUAUGGCCGAGUGAGGCUCAUGAAGCUGGCCAGAAAUGCUGCUAACACCAUCGUCCAAAGUUCAGCUGCCGACAUUGCCAAAAUGGCUAUGGCCAGGGUGAAGAAGGCGUUACUCAAGCAGAGAGUGGAGGCGCAUUUGCUGCUACACAUGCAUGAUGAGCUGAUAUAUGAAACAAGGACUAGUGAUAAGGAAAAGUUAGCGCUAAUUUUGCGUAAAGAAAUGGAAGCUGUCGGGAGUGAUCUCAAAGUUUCUCUGCCAGUGAAAGUAAAGACUGGGCCUGAUUGGGGACAUUUGCAAGACUACCCGUGAACUAUCUUUUUUGCCUUUCCCUUUUCGAACUUGACGCCAUUGGAAUUUGGAAUCCUGAUUACUAUAAAAAGAUCGAGGACGGACUGCAACCGCUCGAGGCCAUGCUGUACACCGUGCAGCAGGUCAACGCCGACCAAACCCUCUUG